rnacentral:rRNA from 1 species
AUUGAACGCUGGCGGCAGGCCUAACACAUGCAAGUCGAGCGUGCGGCGCACGGGUGAGUAAUGUAUGGGGACUGCCCGAUAGAGGGGGAUAACUACUGGAAACGGUAGCUAAUACCACAUAUUAUCGGAUACCCCAUAUGGGAUGAGCUAGUAGGUGAGGUAAUGUCUCACCUCGGCGACGAUCCCUAGCUGGUCUGAGAGGAUGAUCAGCCACACUGGGACGGUGACGCGGCCCAGACUCCUACGGAGGAAGCAGUGGGGAAUAUUGCACAAUGGGCGCGAGCCUGAUGCAGCCAUGCCGCGGGUAUGAAGAAGGCCCUAGGGUUGUAAAGUACUUUCAGUCGGGAGGCGUUACCGACAGAAGAAGCACCGGCUAACUACGUGCCAGCAGCCGCGGUAAUAC